CAGUCGCCGCGGUAAUACGUAGGUGGCAAGCGUUGUCCGGAAUUAUUGGGCGUAAAGCGCGCGCAGGCGGCCUAUCCAGUCUGUCUUAAAAGUUCGGGGCUCAACCCCGUGAUGGGAUGGAAACUAGUAGGCUAGAGUAUCGGAGAGGAAAGCGGAAUUCCUAGUGUAGCGGUGAAAUGCGUAGAUAUUAGGAAGAACACCAGUGGCGAAGGCGGCUUUCUGGACGAAAACUGACGCUGAGGCGCGAAAGCUAGGGGAGCGAACGGGAUUAGAUACCCGUGUAGUCCCUGUCUCUUAUACA
rnacentral:rRNA from 1 species